UACAGAGGGUGCAAACGUUGUUCGGAAUUACUGGGCAUAAAGCGCACGUAGGCGGCCUGUUAAGUGUGGAGUGAAAUCCCACGGCUUACCCGUGGAACUGCUUCGCAUACUGGCAGGCUCGAGGACGGUAGAGGAGAGCGGAACUCUUGGUGGAGCGGUGAAAUGCGUAGAUAUCAAGAGGAACACCAAAGGCGAAGGCAGCUCUCUGGUCCGUUUCUGACGCUGAGGUGCGAAAGCCAGGGGAGCGAACGGG
rnacentral:rRNA from 1 species